CCCAUCUCGGCCUCCCAAAGUGCUGGGAUUACAGGAGUGAGCCACCACGCCCAGCCAUUGUUUAGUAAUUUCUUAAGCAAACCUACUUGUUGUGGUAAAGCCAUAGCCAGCCCAGCUCCUAUAUCAGUUUGUCACAGAAUCUAAGGUCAGAAUUUGUGAGGUCUUAAAGAGAGCAAAAGGAAUGCUUACUUGAGAAUACCAGUUCAUAUUUAAUUACUACUAAUCACAGUAGCACUGAACAUGGCUCUAGUGAGUGGGCCUCAGUCAGUUCAGGCAGCUAAAGGGAGGGGGAUUUCCUCCUAGUCCUCUCCCUAGAGCUUAAUAUGCAUCUGAGAAAAAUUAGGCCACACCAGAAAAGGAAAGCUGGGUCCUGGAAGCUUCAGGACAGGAACUCUUCCUUGGUCAAGUUUUCCCCAGCACCUAGCACAUAGGAAGGUGCUUGAUGAGUGAGUGUUAAAUGAACCUGUGAGUGCUCAGGAUGAUUUCCUGAUAAUUGGGGUCAGGAAUCUACUGGGAGGAGCUUAAACCUAGAAGUUCCCUUUCUGAAAGUCUCAAAUAUGGUUCCCUAACUUAGAGAAGACAGAUGAUGUGGGAAGGAGGCCUGAGGAGAGGAUGCAGGCUGGCAGAAGGGAGCAGGGUGCAUGCGAGCCCAGACCCUGACACCCUUCCAAGGGUGGUGACUGGGUGGCCACUACACAGCACCAGCCUGCUGCAGAGUUCAAAACUAGAAGGGGUUACAUGAAAGUGUUCCCAGGAUGUGGAGCUGCCCUGGGCUAAGUUCAGUCACCUGCCAGCUUCUGCCGUUCCCAUCACCACAGAGCACCUCAGCACCACUCGCCUGAGGAACGGGCUCUGUGUUGCACAGGCCCAUGCCUGACGGCCCACCCAGAAACACCCAUCUGCUGACCUCUGACCUGGGAACGAGUGAGUGGCUACAACCUCAGCUGAACCCCACACGGUGACAUCUUCCAGCAAGGCAAGGACAUCAGCACCUCACGCCCAUUUACAGGCCCCUCACAUGAGCCACUGCUCCUUCUCUUUGAUGAAGUGCUCCGCCCAGCGGCGUGUCAGCUCCAGGUACAGGCUGGGCUGGUGAGGCAGGUAGUCCAAAUACAGGCGGGUGGGUGUCUUCUUGGGAAUGGCCUUCUCAAUCUGGGUGCCCUCGUGCCACUCAUUGAAGGAGGUAAUGGAAACGAUCUCGGGCCUCACUGUCAGGGCCGCCUGCAGGGCCGUCUCAUAGUACUUGCCAUUGACCCUGUUGCGCGUAUUGUGGUUGUUCCAGGGCCGAAUGCUGGUGUCUAUGUAGCCAGGCCCCACACUGGGGAUGAACAUGAGGUUGUUGGCAUCACAAAAGUUCUUCACAGCUUUCCAGUUCUGAUGGGAAGAACCAAAGGAGAAACCAUUGGAGGCAAAGUAGGUGUACAUGCCGUCAAAUCCGGCAGCCAGGAUGUCGUGGGUGUGGCCCUCCUCCACCAGCAGCGCUAUGAAGACCCCAUCGUAGGGCGUGUUGCGGAUCGAAUGGGGCCCGUUUGGUGUCAGGAGGUGGGCCCAGGCCUCAGGGGACGUCAGGUAUGAGUCGUAGAUAUAAAAGAGUGGGAGGCUCUUGCCCAUGCUGUUCUUAUAGCGGUAAAAUGCACCAUGGGAGCCAUACCUG
rnacentral:lncRNA from 1 species